UACGUAGGGGGCUAGCGUUGUCCGGAAUCAUUGGGCGUAAAGAGCGUGUAGGCGGCCCGGUAAGUCCGCUGUGAAAGUCGGGGGCUCAACCCUCGAAUGCCGGUGGAUACUGUCGGGCUAGAGUGCGGAAGAGGCGAGUGGAAUUCCUGGUGUAGCGGUGAAAUGCGCAGAUAUCAGGAGGAACACCGAUGGCGAAGGCAGGUCUCUGGGCUGUAACUGACGCUGAGGAGCGAAAGCAUGGGGAGCGAACAGG
rnacentral:rRNA from 1 species